rnacentral:tRNA from 1 species
GCAGCCGGAGCAAGUCGAUGCCAAGGCCGUCGCGAAGAUCGACGCCCAGGCCGAACGUGCUGCGCUCGUCGCGCG